UAUGUACUUUCAUUAAACGUGGUUAUAUGCAAAAUACAUAUUUAUUUUUUUAGUUCACAAGUGGAUAUAACCUCUUUAAUCUCACUUAACACUCAACGAACAAUACAACAAAAAGUUCAAAGCAAAAACCAAAUAGGCAGCAAAAGAAAUUGAGGUUAUGUAUAUAAAUAUUUUGUUAUUCAAUCACGUUAUUAAUGCGCUAAUCAAAUUAGUUCACAUGCUUGUAAAAUUUAUAGAUUAUAUUAUUUAUAUUUAAUAUAAAUAAUAAUGUAUUGUAAUAAUAGUUAUCAGCCAAAAUUUUCUAUUUUCGAUUUGAAUCGCAUUUAGGGAAAGCCAGGAUAGCGCGCUAUGUCGCAUAAAUAAAUUAUAUAAUUGAAUACACCACUUACAUAUAUGUAUAUGCAUGUUAAUGUACCCUGGAGGAAAAAUGGCUUUAAGUGUAUUUUAAAAGUUUACAGAUUCAUCAUAUUAUAAAAGAUUGAUUGAGUAAAACCAAUGAUACAUUAAAGUGUAACAUUCGUAGAAUGUUCUACGAUGUUUUCAUUUCGAAAAAAUAUUAUACGGCAACGGAGUAAAAUAUUUUAUGAAAUUAUAUAUUCUCCAUGAGCCAAGAGAUUGAUUCCGCGCACAUAAAAUGUUUGAUCUUUUCAGGCAAAAAAACUGGUUCAAAUGGUUUUUGAGAUCCUGAUUUGAGGUGAAGGUUUUCCUGACCAAACAAUUUUUCGGAGAACGAAAUAAUUAAAGGAUCGAAGAUAGUAAAGCUAAGAGAAUAUGGUGGGCACAUUCUAUUCCAGCUGCAAGGCAAGUCAUCAAACUUGUACAUUGUUUCGUGUUAUCUUUGUGGAACACCACACCUUUUCUAUUGAUCAAUUCUGGUCUACUCUGUCAGAGUGUAUCACUCAAUUUUUCCAGCAUAUCGCAUUGUACUUCAGAAUUAUUCGUAGUAUUAUCGGUAUAAACCAUCUUCUUGAAGUAGCACCAAAUAGACAAGAUAACCUUUUCUUGGUGACUAACAGCCUUCGAAGUGGUUUAGUGGUUUGAGUGGUUAGACCAUGAUCUUUUGCGCUUUACAUUCUUAUAAAUAAACCACUUUUCGUCGCCAGUAAGCAAAUCUCAGUCGUUAAACUGUCGAAAUAAAUCUCGCUCUAUAAGAACAUGAGGAACCAUAUGUCAAGCUUCGUAAUUAAUCCUAGUCGUUUUUCUAAAGUUGUUAUUCGACGAUUUGCAUCUAUCAACGACUAUAUAUUAUUCACAUCGGCUUCAAGCGUCUUUCCAAGAUAUGGUGCAUCGUCAAGAUUGAAAUUGCCGGAAUUCGUCGUGAUUGAACUGGAUUUUUUACGCUUUUGAUAGUAAAACAGUAAAAUUUGCAAAUGCUGUUUUUAAGCUUCCUUUAACCGAUAAAGUAUCAAAAAUUAAUUUUUUUUACAAACAUAACAUACUAGUAUAUCAGCUGUUCUAAUAUAUAAGGGUAAAGCGGUUAAGUACGAUGUUGGCUGCGAAAAAUUCAAAGAAUCAGCUGUUGUCAUCAAACGAAAUUACUUAAUGAUCAAAUCUUGAAAAUGAUCGGCCUUGUAGUUUUGAAGUUAUGAGGAAAACCAAUUUUGAAAAAGUGAAUCGUGCAGAAGAAAAACGCUCUAAAGUGAAAAUCUGGUGGAAACCAUUCAUAAGAACAGUAAAAAAAUAUUUUUAACUUCGUCAGUUUUGUCCCAACGACUUGAAAUUUUGACACAAUAUUAUUGAAAUUAUUCCUUCAAUUAAGGUGAGGUGGUUAGAUAGUUAGAUAAAGCAUCAGUAUCAGAUAGAAGAAACAGAAUCACAAAUAUGAUCUUAAGUGCAGAAGAAUAAUGGAACAAAGAGCAAAACCAAAUGAAGCAUGGCAUGGAUAUAUUGAAAAAAAGUGAUUAACUCGCAAUAUUCCAUUUUAGAAAAUUAAAAAUGGGAAGAUCUUUGCAACAAUAGCAACAACGAUUUGUGAGACUAUUGGCAUAAACUUGCUAUGGAGAAACUAAGCAGUGAAGAUACGGAAUAUAUGUAACUGCAUUCAUGGAACAAAGAGCGAAGUACAUACUAAAACAAAAUACAAGUACUUGAAAUAAAUACCAAAGAUUUAUUAGAGCAUAAAUAGUAAGUACAUAGAGACACUAACUAAUAGAGGUAAUCGAAAAAACACACACACACAAACAAAGUCAAAAAUUAAAAUCAGAAGAAAUACUCCAAAUAUACUAAAGACAACAAACACUUCAUAUACACAUUUAUAUAGAUAAAUAGCAAAGCACAUUAAUACAAACGUAUGAAUGUGAAAAGAAUUUGUACUUAGCCGCUUUUGUAUGUUCAUAUUCAAUAUUAACUAUUAGCUGUCAAAAAGUAUACUAAAUACAUAGAUUAUAUAUACAAACAAAUGAAAUGAAAUUAAUUGAACUAAGAACAGUCGCAGAAUUAAAUAAAAAUAUAUUCAUUAGGGUGUGCGUUAUUUUACAAGUUGAAUUUUUUCAAGUGCCCACUGAAGUUUCAGUUUUUGAGAUUAUGUCACAAACAGGGUCCAACCGAAAAAACUGUUUUUUUUUUAUUUAAACCGCGCUUAAAUCAUAUUUAUUUUCUUAUAAGAUUUUUUAUCUUUUGAUUUUUUGCAUUAAAUUACUGCAAAUCCCUACCAUAAAGAUUUUGGUGAUUUUUUCUAUAAAACCAACUUUUUAAAGUUAUACGCAAUUAAAAUUCUUUAUCAAAUGCAAACUGAAACAGGGAGCGCUUGUAAAACACGAACCUACUUGUGAAAUAACGGACAUCCUUAUAUUCAUAUCUGCGUGAGCUAUGUGGGAUAGCUAGCUAAAAAAAAA
rnacentral:lncRNA from 1 species